AUACGGAGGGUGCAAGCGUUAAUCGGAAUUACUGGGCGUAAAGCGUACGUAGGCGGUUCGUUAAGUUAGAUGUGAAAGCCCCGGGCUUAACCUGGGAACUGCAUUUAAAACUGGCGAACUAGAGUUGAGUAGAGGGGAGUGGAAUUUCAGGUGUAGCGGUGAAAUGCGUAGAGAUCUGAAGGAACACCAGUGGCGAAGGCGGCUCCCUGGACUCAAACUGACGCUGAGGUACGAAAGCGUGGGUAGCAAACAGGAUUAGAAACCCCGUAGUCC
rnacentral:rRNA from 1 species